UUUGCGAUCUCCUGUACAGUAGGUGGCGAUAUGCACCAAGGAGACGUAAUCCGCCAAAAACUUGGAAGAAGACAGGAAGAAGCCACACAUCCGUUCAAUGGGCAGGACUUCCGGCGACUACCGGCUAAGUUUUCACUCGACUGCUCACCCUGGCAAUAUCGGCGCCCAGCUGCUCCUGGCUCCUCAGCCUCGAGUACUCUUCCGCGAUGUGAUUGGCCGCCUCUUCCGUCAGCACCGGCAUCACCCCUUUGGCGAUGUGUAUGUACUUCCUCAUGAAUUCCUUGCUCACAAUCUUCUCUCUGAAACGGAGAGAAUGAGAAAGCUGAAAGACACUGAGCAACUUCAUGACUCAUUGCUGUACUGUAAACGCAACACUGGGGUUCAAAUCAGCAGGUUGUUGUGCUUCUCGUAGACCUGCAGCUCCUCAUGCUCCUGCGCCGCAGCAUCCGGAUCCUCAGUGGCCAGGACGUCGACUGAGCCACCCAGAGCCAUUGCUAAAAAUCAGCAGGACGUGGUCCGAGAUCUCACGGUCCUGUUCCGGGUCCAUCUGAUCCAGCACGAUGAAGAGAAGGUCGAAACGUGACAGCAAAGAGUCCUGCAGUCCGAUGUUCUCCAUGGGGGU